rnacentral:rRNA from 1 species
CACGUAGGGGGCAAGCGUUGUCCGGAUUUAUUGGGCGUAAAGAGCUCGUAGGCGGUUCGGCAAGUCGGGUGUGAAACCCCCAGGCUCAACCUGGGGACGCCACCCGAUACUGCUGUGACUUGAGUCCGGUAGGGGAGCGUGGAAUUCCUGGUGUAGCGGUGAAAUGCGCAGAUAUCAGGAGGAACACCAGCGGCGAAGGCGGACGCUCGUG